rnacentral:rRNA from 1 species
UACGGGGGGGGCAAGCGUUGUUCGGAAUUACUGGGCGUAAAGGGCUCGUAGGUGGCCAACUAAGUCAGACGUGAAAUCCCUCAGCUUAACUGGGGAACUGCGUCUGAUACUGGAUGGCUUGAGUUUGGGAGAGGGAUGCGGAAUUCCAGGUGUAGCGGUGAAAUUCGUAGAUAUCGAGAGGAACAUCGGUGGCGAAGGCGGCCUUCUGGACGGUGACUGACGCUGAGACGCGAAAGCGUUGGGGAGCAAACAGG